rnacentral:rRNA from 1 species
UACAGAGGGGGCAAGCGUUGUUCGGAAUUACUGUGCGUAAAGGGCGCGUAGGCGGCCUCUUAAGUCGAACGUGAAAUCCCCGGGCUCAACCCGGGAACUGCGUCCGAUACUGGGAGGCUUGAAUCCGGGAGAGGGAUGUGGAAUUCCAGGUGUAGCGGUGAAAUGCGUAGAUAUCUGGAGGAACACCGGUGGCGAAGGCGGCAUCCUGGACCGGUAUUGACGCUGAGGAGCGAAAGCGUGGGGAGCGAACAGG